rnacentral:tRNA from 1 species
GGAGAUUCGGCCGAAUGGUAAAGCGCUUGGCUUCAGAACUGGAGGGUCCCAGGUACGAAUCCUGGAAUUUUUA